AAUAAUGGUGGGCUGAACGGGAGCUUCUUCGGAAGCGCCGAUUUUUCCGCGUGGUCGGUACGCCAACCGGUUCAGUCCACCACCCAU
rnacentral:antisense_RNA from 1 species